AUGACGGUCGUGGGCGUGGGGGCUGCCGCACCACAUGUGCCCGCCGGCAGCAGCUCGCCCAGGCGCCGCGCUCACCAAGCCCCCGCGGCGACGCCCAUUGCCAAGGACUUCAUCGGGGUGCGCACGCGCCCGUGGGGCAAGUUCGCGGCGGAGAUCCGGGACUCGACGCGGAACGGCGCCCGCGUGUGGCUCGGCACCUUCGGCAGCCCCGAGGCGGCCGCCAUGGCCUACGACCAGGCCGCCUUCUCCGCGCGCGGCGACGCCGCCGUGCUCAACUUCCCCGUCGAGCGCGUCCGGGAGUCGCUCCGCGCGCUCGCGCUCGGCGCCGUCGUGGGCUCGCCCGUGCUCGCGCUCAAGCGACGCCACCGCAUGCGCAGGCGGUCGCCCAACAAGAGGCCCGUGAAGCAGCAGCGCCGGGUUGCCGCCGUGAAGGAGGACGCGCGGCCGGCGAUGGCGGGCGUGGUGGUGCUGGAGGACCUGGGCGCCGAGUACCUGGAGGAGCUCCUCUGGGUGUCCGAGCCGCCCAUGGAUCAUUUCCAUACAACGGCGACGUCGUCGUUCUGA
rnacentral:rRNA from 1 species